GCUCUGGUAUUUUUCCAGGAGAGACCAAAUGCAGGUGAGUGGACAAGAGAAAAGUGCUGCGUGGGUUCAAUACACGAAUUUGAUUCCUUUAUUACCUGUAUUGGUGAGCUUUGGGACACAGCCCCACACCCACAGCUUAAAGGAGGAGAGGCUUGUUUUGGCUCACAGUUGCCAGAGAUUCAGUCCAUGAUUGAUCAGCUCCAAGGCAGAAACAGCCUGGUGGAAGGGCAGGGCAGAGGAAAGCUGUUCACCUCAUGGCAGCCAGGAAACAGUGAGAAGGGAGGAGCAAGGACAGGAAUGCACCUUCCAGGUCCCACCCCCAGUGACCACCUUCACCCAAGUCCCUCCUAACAGCACACUCAGCUACUGUACAAUUCAGUGGGGGAAUCUAAUGAUGAGUACAGCACCCCAUGAUCCAGUCAUGUUCCACAGGCAGCAGACUUCUGAGGGACAUGUUUGAUCUACAUCCUAACAAUGGCUAAACACAAAAGUGCUUGUUCGCACCCCUUGUCUUAAGCAAGGGGUGGUUGUAUCCACCUGUCAAGUGGGGAAACUUCUGCUCACAGAUGGGGGGCUCUGGGCCACAGAAGUCCUACAGCCAGGCCUGGCAGCACAGCACUGCGGCCCCGUGUGGUUUUCUAGGCUCUGGCGGGCAUAGGUCUCUAGGCUGCCAGUUUCUACUUCUAAGUGACAACUUGGUGUCUAUUCAAAUUCCAGAUGGGAUUGAUAAUUUUCAAAAGUAAAGACGUUUAAGUAGUACUUAGGGCACAAAAAGCUUACCUGUGUUUGCACUCACUUGGUAAACCACUUGGCAAAUUUGAGAACUUUAAUUACUCACAUUUCUUAUCGUUGAGGUUCCUGAAAAUUGCAAAGAUUAAAGCACAGAUCGUAACCACGAGAAGCUGCCAGCUACCCACAGAUCAGGGAAGGGACUGCGGUGGCAGACGGCAUCAGUUGCUUCCAGGAGGCGACACGUACGGCAGAGGAGCUGAUCCCUGGAUCACACACACAGCUCAUCAGAGACCCUCGCAUGGGUAAGUGUCAGGUAAAAGGGCCGAAGACCAAGACCAGACCAGGCCACAGCAAGCCUUUAUUAGGGGAAUAGAUCUGCCGGGCUGUCUCUGAACAAAGGAGAGACAAAAGCAAUAUGGCUGGGGCAGGGAGAGUCUUUUAUAGAGACUGGGGUGGGGCUUGUAGGGGCUGAGGCGGGGGAGAGUCUUUUAUAGAGACUGGGGUGGGGCUUGUAGGGGCUGAGGCGGGGUUGAGUGAGGUAGUGAC
rnacentral:lncRNA from 1 species